UUUUUUUUUUUUUUCUUUCAGCCAUUUCUUUUUAUUUACAGUUUGUGUUCAAUGCAAAUCAAUUCCAUAAGAAGUUACUAUGAAUCAAAGCGUAAAUACACAAACACAAUAUACAAUCCAAAAUAGAUGUACAGCAUUCUGGAAUAAAGCAAAAGAGUGUUCAUUCACACACACAGUAGCUUCAAAACGGUUCGAUCUGUUUGUUCUCAUGUAGUUUUGUAAAGAUGGAAAAAAAGGACUUUGGUCAUCAAGACUACUGUGGCCAUGUCAAUUACUACAUAAAAGGUCAAACGCAAUGUCAAAUCCAAAGCCUCAGGAGGAAAGUGAGUUCAGUUCCCAAGAGAACAGCAAUAGCUCAACAAUGUAAAACUUCAUCUAGAGUAUAUCGGCAUUAAAUAAGUGCUGCCGAAACAAUACGUUGAGGAAUUACAGUAACACCUGGAAGUUCCUUCUCAUGUACAUAUAAAUAGAAUCAUGGAAGCUUUUUAUAUUACCUGUUUUAUGGCCUUAUAGAAUUAAUGAACCAAAUGAAAACUGAAUCUCCAUUCCACAAUCACAUCCUUUAUUUCUAUUCUUAUUUUCAAGGUAGUAUUAAGUGUCCAUAUUUCUCAAGCCACAUUCAAGGAAAUCAUGUCUUAACUAUUUUGGAUGUUGCCUCUCCUUCAUCUUGUACAUGAAACUCCAGCAGAUUUAAUAUUGGCAUCCAUCAUCUAGUCAAACCUCUCACAUGUUCUUCAAAUCAAUCAAAUUUGGGAUUCUCAACAUUUUCUGUGUCAAUAAAAGGUGUGGAAUUAG
rnacentral:lncRNA from 10 species